GGACUCUGACUGGACUUCCCGCUCUUUGCACUCUGCCCCAUAAAUGCAGCCUGACUCAAACUCUGAAAGGACCGCUUGGAGCUUGGUUCCGCACACCUUUGACAGUAGCCAUUGCUCUGCAGCUCUGCAAUCAACUGUAUUUCUGCAGACUUGAAUUUGUAGGUAAAGAAAAAUAACUCAAGAUUCCUGAAGGAACUGUUAGCAUCUCUUUCCUGGAACAAGUACUUAAACCAUGCAUUUCUGAUUCUGGAACCAGGGUUCCUUGAGGAUGGACAGGGGAGAAAGAUUCAGAACUGGGAUUUCUUUCAGAAAAAGGUAAGAUUGCCAGUCGUAGAGAUUUAAUGGGAUGUGGGUGAAACUUGAGAGCAAGUUUAAGUGCAGAAUCAAAUCAGAGAACACUCCUUGUACAAGUUGUUAGAAUUUUAUAGGCAUCUUACCUCAUUAGAUGAAAUUCAAAUUAUUGUUAAUGAUGGUCCCUCUAGCGUUGUAAUUCUCUUCAGAAAUUGUCCUGACUCUUUAGUAAAAGAAUUCCAAUGAUCGUUCCCCAGUGUGGCAUGUUAGCUACAUGGAGGUUAAGAGGACAGAACAGGAAGCAGAAGGGACCCUUCUUUCUGGCCUUCCAGUGUUUAAGCCAGAGAGCUGACUCAGUGGACUGUGGCCUGAAGCUCUAGACGUGACUCAGCAGUAGCCCAGAGAGCUCCAUGGUGGACAGCAGCUAACUCUUCCCUGGGGACAGGGAAAAGACUAAAAAGACAGGGAUAACUGAGUACUAACAAAUUACAUGUGGUACACGGUCUAUCCUGUUCACU